rnacentral:misc_RNA from 1 species
CAGUUUAGUCUUGAUUUUUCUUUAAAAAAAAAAAACUCGAAUUUGUAUGAGAAAGAGCUUUCCAUCAAUAUUUCAAUUUAAAAGAAUGAACAAAAGCAAAUUAUUAACUAUAGGAAAUAUUGUUCUGAUAAAUAAGAAAAAACGUAAAGAAAGAUAAAGUCGAAAAGUGAUAUUUUAGAUAGCGAGGAAUGACUUAUUUAAAGGUACAAAACAAAAUUCAAAGCAACUCGUUUACUAAAAAGAGCACCCUUUAGAUUGCAUUAUUUAGAAUACGGCCCUGCUGCAGCCACUUACGCGGCGGUAAUAACUCUACGUUGUCGCGCCGAACUUAGUUACUCGAUGAGUGUCGGUAGGAGCGAGCGUUUCACGCGUUCCAAAUAACUAGAUGCACUUUUUCACUUGCUCAUCUCUAAGUUUUUGAAAGAACGCGAUAAACGUUAUUUAUUUCUCUCGCAUUGAUAUAUUUUGUAUUUAUUUUUUUUAUUUUUUUUGUUUUUUUUUUAUGUAAGUGUAUAUUUAUGUACAUCUUGUUUGUUCACUAAACGCGAUUGGUUCUUUAUACUAUUAAUAUCAUUCCAAGGAAAGAGGAAAAAUCAGGUGAUCAUAUGCUGCAUUGCGUACUUUGAAAGGACAUUUAAAUUGGCGCGCGAAUUCGCCCGGCGAAUGUUUUUCGUUUACUUCGGUUGGUAGGACUGUUCGGAAAAUUCGGAAAGUGAACAGGUGUUUUUUGAAUGGAUUAGCGUGAGAGAGAGGCGAAGAGAGAGAAAGCAAAAGAGUAGACGAAAAGGAUGCGUAAAGUUUCGGUGAAUGGUGAACGAUCGGCGGCGAAUUGAAAGAAAUUUACAAAUGAUUGAGGCCCAAGAAUAUAUAAAUGAACACAAAUUCACAUUGGGUUUACCAAUGAAAAUGAGGUGAGUCCUAGGAAUGUAACCUCAGUUUUAUGUGAGCAGUGUAUUCCAAUAAGAAAAAGGUAAAUAAACAAAUGUGAUACUUUCAUAGGUUACAAUGUAAAACCCAUAUGAUGUUAAUAAGAGAGUAAAAAUAUAAGAGAGAGAGAGAGAGAGAGAGUCGCUUAAUUGUCUUAUUUAUCUGUCGAGGCGGUCAGUUCGUCAGUAUGUCGGUAUUUGUUGUUAUUACGCUCUUGUAUUUCUAAUUUUUUCACUCAUAAGGUUCAAUCAUGUUACAUUUUCAUAACACACACGUUCUUUUUUCUCUUACUGUUUUACCUUAAUUGCCUGCGUUCGUAACGUUACGAUGAAUUGCGCGAUUUAAUUGGGAGUGAUUCUCUUUGAGAAAUUUAUAUAAUAACGAGCAUAGAAAAUCUCGUCAAAGAAUAGAAGAAACUAUAUCUUAAGUUUUCAUUUCGAAAUCUUUAUUCAAGAAAUAUUCUGUGAUAGAAAUAAUUAUGCUUUGUAAUAUCCGUUUAAUGACGCGCAAAUAUGAUUGCAUCUAUAGAUGUAAUGAUUUUGUAAUUUAUUUACAUCUCAUGAAAUAUUUAAACUUAUUUCUAGUUAAACUAUAUAUAUAUAUAU